CCUACGGGAGGCAGCAGUGAGGAAUUUUCCGCAAUGGGCGAAAGCCUGACGGAGCAAUGCCGCGUGGAGGAGGAAGGCCUGUGGGUCGUAAACUCCUUUUCUCAGAGAAGAAGUUCUGACGGUAUCUGAGGAAUAAGCAUCGGCUAACUCUGUGCCAGCAGCCGCGGUAAUACAGGGGAUGCAAGCGUUAUCCGGAAUUAUUGGGCGUAAAGCGUCCUGAGGUGGCUUACCCAGUCGACUGUGAAAGCUCAAGGCUUAACCUUGAAACGGCAGUCGAAACUUGUAAGCUUGAGUACGGUAGGGGCAGAGGGAAUUCCCGGAGGAGAGGUGAAAUUCGUAGAUAUCGGGAGGAAGGCCAAAGGCGAAAGCACUCUGCUGGGCCGAUUACUGACACUGACAGACGAAAGCUAGGGGAGCGAAAGGGAUUAGAUACCCCUGUAGUCCUAGCCGUAAACGAUGGAUACUAAGUGUUGCGCGACUCAAAACGUGCAGUACNNNNACGACGUACGUAGUACGUCCGUCGGUGGUAGUGCGCCGACGAGGUAACGUAAACGUAAGUAAGUUAGUACGGCGUGAGACGUGCCGAACGGACGACCGACGAGGGAGGUAGG
rnacentral:rRNA from 1 species